UAUCAUGAUGAUCAUAUAAGAAUGCAUGAGGUUUCAAACAAUGGGUGGGGAAACAGGUGUGGUACUAGACUAAAAAUGAGUCUAGCCAUUCAGAGUUAGCAAAGAGUGGUAAAAAUGAUGCAAACAAAACUCUGAAUGUAUGAUCCAUUACAUGAUUCUCAAGCCCCUAAGUGAGAUAAAUUAAGUCCAGAUUAAGUUCAAGUAUAUAAGAUAAAGCUCAAUUCAUCCGAAUUUCAAAGAGAUAGGGACUACUAUAGAGUGAUCUAGUCAUGGAUUUUCCUGAACUUCCAAGUUAUCGAAUAAUGCUAAAAUGGUCUCAAGGCAAUGAAAUCAAGCUAGGUGCAAUUCCCCAAGAAAAGAUCAUAUUCUCAAACAGAUUUUGACUCAAUAAAAGACACAAUUUUUGACUCGAUAAAAACGAACUGACUGACUCAAACGAAAACAUCAAAAGAAACAACCAAAGGAAACUCGAUUAGUAGACAAAUGACAACCUCCCCCCGACUUGCUUCACACCGACUCGGUGUGAAAACAAUUCGAAGAAAUGAUGCCAUACACACUCAAAAGAAAAAAAAAUGAAAAUGCGAAAAAGAAAAAGAGAAAACUUACUUGGGAUACAUUAUGGGUUGCCUCCCACCAAGCGCCUGUUUUAGGUCGUAAGCUUGACCGCUCAACACAAAAUAUUAAUCAUAAGAAUCAAAAGGUUGUGCCAGUGGACCUUUUGUCCUUCUCCUGUUAGUGAAAGAAAUGAGAUGUGCCAAGUAACACACAAUUAUCCAUGGUAAAGAGAUAAAAUUCACAUCAAGAAAAAUUACUACAAAUGUAGCAUAUACUUUGAAAUAUUCCUUGAUGGUUGAAUGCUCAUGAGGAUGAAAUGCAUUUGGAGGAAAAAUAAAGUCAAUUUCCUGGUUACACGAGGGUUGAACAAAAUAAUCAACUUCAUCGCCAUUAAUAUCGUAUAGCACAAUAUCUCCAUCCAUAUAAUCAACCUCAGGAUCUUCAUUCUCAUGCAAAAUCUUAUCAAUAUCAAGCACAACUCCUAGGAAAGAUUCAUCAAGAAGAGAUCUAGAUAUUUCAGGCAUUGAAAACUUAAACUUGAGAUCAUGAACAUUCAAAGCACAAUGAUAUUCAAUAUCAAAACAUAUUUCAUGGUAAUCCCUAGCAAGUUUUGCUGCUCUUAAAGUAUCUAGUCGUUGAGACUCACAUAUCAAAUCAAAACAUUCUUCAAUGAUCAUGGAAGUAUGCAAACUAGAAGUCACAUAUUCAAUGCAUGACAUUUGAAUAUCCUCAACAUCAUGAAUUUCAAGGGUUGAAACGCAUGUACCUUCUAGUUCGCUUGGUGGAACCCAAUAUAUUACCUUUUUAAGCGCAUGAGCUUCUUGUUCUUCAUAGAAUGUGACUUCUCUUCCUUCACAUGCUGCCCGGUGUGAUAAGAGAUUCAACCGGAUCAAAAUCGCUAAAUCACUCCUUACCAAUGUUGGAUGUUCGUUGUGAAGUUCAUCCAACUUUACUUUUUGUUCCGGUGUAAGAACUCUCUCAUCAAGCGGUGGCUCCACAUAUGGUUCAUCAUCUUCUUCUUGCGGCCAAUCAUUGUAUUCCAUGGCAUAAAAAAAAACAAAUGAAAGUUAGUAAUAAAUAAAAAUUCUCUAGACUAAAAACUAAUCCUAAAUCCUUAGGUAACGCAAUUGGUCCCCGGCAAUGGCGCCAACUUGAUUGCUCGAGUAAUUACCCGAUACACUUAACCGCAAGGUAGUAUAUACGGGGUCGAUCCACAAGAACCAAUGGUACACUAAAGACUUCUGAGACUCGUUCUUAGCUAAAGCGGAAAGAUUGUUUUGUUUUGGGUUUUCAGAAUUGUAAAUAAAAAUACAAUUAAAAUAGACUAUUUAUCUUCAAGAUUUAAAGACAUUGGGCGUUAGGAUAUUUCAGAGAUCAACGAAUAAUGGAAACAUGAAACCAGGAAUUCAGUAAUUAAGAACCGUUCUCGAACAUGAACACAUUUAAACCAAUUCUCUUUCAAGACAUUAAUCACUAAAUUUGACUAUUCGAUUACUAAACUUUCGCAUGCAAUUUCCUAGUCAAAUUCGCAUUACCAAACAAGUUCAUUAAGUUCACAAUGCGUCCUAACGUCAACUUUCGUUGGCUAGAAAUACAUUGCUCAAUCCACAUUCUUUCAGGCAUUCUAUCGAACACUUUUGAUGCAUAGAAAAACCUAGAAUCUACAACAGGGUGAUCAAUCCUAUUCUAGCAUUAAGAACAUGUGAAUCAAAGAAUCUAGAGAAUGAGAAUUCCUAACACAACCAAUCCAUUAAUCCAUUUAAUCUCCUAAUUGGAACCCUAAAACCCAAUUGGAGAACUACUCACACAUAGAGAAAGAGAAAAGACAAAUAGAUAUGAAAGAAAACAUGAUUCAAUAAAAUAGAAAAGGAAUAGGGUUUAGAAAUCUUCUCCAAGUGUCAAGAGGAUGGAUUCCUUUGCCCAAAGUUGUUUACAAACCAAAGAACAAAGUUUAAAACUCAAAAAAGUCAAAGAUAAUGUCUCAAAAGUCGAGCUUAGGGUUUUAAAACAAUAGGAGACGAGCCGGGUCGGAUCUGGAGUGACUCGGGUCAAAUCUGGGCCAAAAAUACGUCUGGGGAAGGGAUCGAUCGAUCCAAAGGAGGAUCGAUCGAUCCAGCAGUGUCUGGAACGUUUCUCAUCCGUCAAGGAAGUGGAUCGAUCGAUUCACAAAGGGAUCGAUCGAUCUGGAGCUUCUGGUCUUCAGCUCUGCAACUGCUUCAAAUGCUCGCCAGAAUGACCUGUCUUCACUAAUUCGGGUAUAACAAUUGAAUGCACCGUUAGAUUUCCUUCAAAUCACAUGGAACCUCAAGCUAACAUCUGCAUAUAGCUUUUGUCAAAAUUUCAGAAAGAUCUAACGGUGGUAAGUGUUCCAUCGGAGGACAAACGUUUGGUACUUCUAACCGACACUGCAUCUCCAAAUGUGUGUUUUUAUCCCAAAACAUCUCGUUUUCCUCCAAAGCAACCUAAAACCUGUAAAGAAUCGAUAAAGGAUUAAAAGACUCUAAAAACAAACUUUGACUCUAUAAAAUAUAUGAUCUAGGAAAGAAAACAAAGACUCAAAACCGAUAAAAACACAACAUAUCAGCAUUGAAGGUGUACAUAAUAAGCAUGGAGAAAAAGCAUUGUCAGUGUUGUGGGUCGUAGUAUGUCUUGGAUCUAAUCUAAUAGGGUCGGAAGACAUUGUCUGUUGUAGACUGUCUAUGUUACAGUUUUCAUAAUUUGUAAUAAAUAAUAAAUCUAGAAAUUAAAAAAAUAAUGUGCAGAUUAAUGCAAGCAAGUUUACAAGAGAUCUGAAGGCGUUGUGCAAUUAGAGCCGUUCGCCGUGAAUUUAAGCAUUGAAGGUGUACAUCAUAAGCAUGAAGAAAAAGUAUUUUCAGUGUUGUGGGUCGUCGUAGAUCAUUGAACAUCAUGAGCAUGGAGAAGAAAAUGCAGUAUGUCUUGGAUCUAAUCUAACAGGGUCGGAAGAUAUUGUCUUUAGUAGAAUGUCUAUGUAACAGUUGUCAUAAUUAAUUUGUAAUAAAUAAUAAAUCUAGAAAUUAAAAAAGAAGAAGUAAUGUUCAACACCUUAGAUGAAUAACAUAAAUGAGAAGCAGUUACCUCUUUGCCAUUUUGUUAAUCCUCCAUCAACCAACAUGGGGUACGUUCCUCCUCGCUUUGAUCCUUCAUCUUUUGUCACUGUUCGUUUUUUCAGCGUUUAAUCAAUUUGAUUUCUUUGUUGUUUUGAUGAAUUAUGAGGGAUUUAAUUUUACCAUUCCUUUUGGGACAUUAUUGGCCUUGAUGUGUCCAGUGAUAUCAGGCUCUUCUUUGAAUCAAGCUUCCUCUCCCAGCACCAAAACGAAACUCACAUUCGUUUGAUUCCAAAAGUAACAAGCCCAAGGAAAGUCUCGGAGUAUAGACCAAUAGCUCUUUGUACCGUGCAUUACAAAAUUAUUGCAAAGAUUCUUACAAAGAGACUCCAACCAUUGCUAGAUACUCUCAUCUCUACCAAUCAAUCGGCCUUUGUUCCAAAUAGAGCUAUAUCCGAUAACAUGUUGAUCACUCAUGAGAUCCUCCACUUUUUGCGUACUUCAGAAGCUAAAGUAAGAUGCUCUAUGGCGGUUAAGACCGACAUGAGCAAAGCAUACGAUCGUAUUGAAUGGUCCUUUCUUGAGGCUGUCCUAAGGCAACUUGGUUUUCAUGAGAAAUGGAUAUCUUGGAUUAUGGCGUGUGUAGGCUCUGUUUCCUACUCCUUCCUCAUCAAAGGCUCUCCCAAAGGUCAAGUCAUUCCUUCUCGAGGCUUAAGACAAGGAGACCCUCUCUCCCCUUACCUCUUUAUAUUGUGUACCGAAGUUCUUUCCGGUCUUUGUCAACGUGCUCAAGACCGAGGUCACUUGCCGGGUAUUAAAGUAGCUCGUGGCAGCCCGCCCAUCAAUCACUUGCUCUUCGCCGACGACACAAUGUUCUUUUGCAGAACAAAGCCAAAAAGUUACAAGAAACUCAAGGAAAUCAUAGCCCGGUAUGGAGAAGCUUCGGGUCAGGUCAUUAACUUCGAUAAAUCAGCCAUUACCUUCUCUAAUAAAACCCCUGCAGCAACAAAAGCCUUUGCUAAGAUAACUUUGGGUAUAGAGAAGGAAGGAGGGGUUGGUAAAUACCUUGGCUUACCGGAGCACUUUGGAAGAAGAAAGAAGGACAUUUUCACUUCAAUGGUGGACAAAAUUCGCCAAAGGUCUCAUAGUUGGACUUCUAAAUUUCUCUCCGCAGCCGGCAAGCAAGUUCUUUUAAAAUCCGUCAUAGCAGCGAUGCCGCUCUACGCUAUGUCAUGCUUCAAGCUCCCUUUAUCACUGUGCAAGAGAAUACAAUCAAUCUUAACUCGAUUCUGGUGGGAUAGCAAACCCGAGAAGCGUAAAAUUAGCUGGGUUGCUUGGGAUACUUUGACUCUACCUAAAUCUGAAGGUGGCUUAGGUUUCAGGGAAAUAGCACAAUUCAAUGAUGCCCUCUUAGCUCGCAUCAGCUGGAAAAUCUUGAAUUUCCCGGACUCAUUGCUGGCUCGGGUUCUUCUUGGCAAAUACUGUAAUGAGAAGCCCUUUCUAGAAGUUUCAGUUGCUUCUUCUUGCUCUCAUGGCUGGAGGAGCAUCAUGGCAGGUCGUGAAGUGCUGAGGAAAGGACUUGGUUGGACUGUUGGUGAUGGUACCCUAAUCAAUAUCUGGCAGGAACUCUGGCUUUCCAUCAACCACCCUUUGCAACCAAUCGGCCCUCCUACAGAAGCAAACAGAGAACUAAAAGUCAGUGCUCUGCUAUCCCAGGAAUCUAAUGAUUGGAACUUAGCCUCUAUCCGCCAACACUUACCUCAGUAUGAGGCUACCAUACGCAGGCUGAUCCCGAGCUCUAGGAAAAAGAAAGACUCUCUUGUUUGGCUCCCUGAGAAAUCCGGCUCAUUUUCAACUAAGCCUGGCUACAUCUUAUCCAAACUACACCUCAAAGCUGCAGAUUCUGAACUUUUCAAUUGGAAACUGAAUAUCUGGAAUCUCACUAUCCCUCCCAAACUUAAGAUGUUUCUUUGGAAAAUUAAAAGAAGAGCCCUUCCAGUGGCAAGGAAUUUAGCAGUUCGUGGCAUUAUCUCAGACCUUACCUGCAAAAGAUGUGGUCUAGAUGAAUGUGAACUCCAUAUUUUGCUACUCUGUCCUUAUGCUAGAAAGGUGUGGGACUUAGCACCUAUUCACAAGAAGCCAAGAGCAUAUCGUAUCACCUCCUUUCCCCACCUGUUGGAAGCUUCCCGCCUUUCUCUAAACCUUCCACCAAUCGGUAUCUUCUCCACUCCUCUUUCUGCCUGGAUCCUUUGGUUUCUCUGGAAGUCAAGGAAUCUUCUCAUCUUCGAAAACAGAGACUCGAUAGCAGAGGACUCUGUUUCAAAGGCAAUUUGUGCUGCUAAGGAAUGGCAAGCUGCGCAGCUAGCUACACAUUCUCCAGCUCGUGCUAGAUGCACACCAUUACCUCUUAUUGAGGACUCUACCAACCCUUUACCUCUUACUGAGGAUCUUUCUACCCGUAUCCCUCGUACUGAGGUGCAGCUUCUUCCCUUACCUCCCCAUGAGGUGAUCUAUUGCUUUACGGAUGCAGCUUGGAAUGCGUCCACUGGCUCAUGCGGUAUGGGAUGGAUUUUCAAGACUCAAGACCAUCGAGUUAUCCAUCAGGGCUCGGCAACUCGCCUCCAUACACCCUCGGCUUUAGCAGCUGAAGCCUUGGCUAUGAAAUAUGCGCUGAUCGCAGCGUCAAGAAUGGAAUUUACCUCCAUCAAAGUUUCUUCCGACUCUCAAGUCCUCAUAUCUCUGCUCAAUACAGAGACCUCUACGAAUGAGCUGCAAGGGAUUCUCCAUGAUAUUGCCUUCGCUAGUCUUUCGUUUUUAUCGAUUAAAUUUACUUUUGUCCCUCGCAAUGCUAACCUUUUAGCUGAUGCUUUGGCUAAGUCUGUUCUAGCUUCACUUGAUGUACUCUCCGCUUAAGGUUUGAUCUAUAAAAUAUGUUUGCCCAAAAAAAAAAUGAGGGAUUUAAUAGAGUGUGCUUUUCAUGAUGCGAAAUUUUGUUAUUGUUGUUUCGGAUUAUCUUUGAGUUCUUAACUAUAUUAGAUUGAUUAGAUAAAGGUGAAGAAAAUAUGGAAAUCACAUUUAAAAAGUGAUUACAUGUAAUGAUGUAUAUUGAAUGGUAUUAGAAAUAAAAUAAAAUAAAAUGUUAUAUUGUAGCUAGAAACAUAUAAGAAAUAAAAUUGAUUACCAAAAAUUUAAAUUUUUUUUAUUACAAUCAGAUAAGACCUAAGCUGCAUGGAAUCGGAAGCGGGUACGGGGAAGCGAAGCGUUAAGAAACGCGGAAGCGAUUUUUUUGGAAAAAAUAGGAAUCGGGUACGUUUUGGAAGCGUCUAUACAACAAAUAAAUAUACAAAAUAUUAUAAAUUUAUAGGUUAUAGUCAAAUUAAAAAGUUUAGGCAUUUUAAUUAUUACAUACAAAUCAUAAUCACAACUACACACAGAUAAAAGUAUUAUAAUUUUAGUAAUACGAUAUUUAAAAAUUUAAUAUUCUUGUAAUCAAUAAAAACAUAUAAGACAAAUUAGUUAUUAACAAUAGUUGAAGUUGGGAAAAAAUUUGAGUCAAAACGUGGAAGAAAACAAAAAUCAUAAAAACAGCUGGACCUCAAUGGUUUAAAGAAUUGGGCCAAGGUAAAAUAAAAAGCGAACAAUCUACGUGGAAAAUUAUGUCGUCUUCUUCGUUUGGAUCUGGUCGAGAACCACGAUUCCGAUUCAAAAAUCACGAUUCCAACUCAGAAUCGUGCACUCCCACAACGUUUCCAAUCGUCACUUUUCAGAAUCGCGCUUCCCUUGCGAUUUCAAGAGCUUCCGGACGCUUCCGCUUCCAUUUCCGAUUCCGGAGCGAGAAUCGGAGCUUAGCCGGCGAUUCCGUGCAACGUAGGAUAAGACUAUAAGUUAGAAACAUGAACUAAUUAUCUAUAAUAGUAUUUUUGAAGUACAUUUUUAGCGGGUGAGGCAAAAUGCAUUUGGAUACAAUGGAUAUCCGACCCGUUUACAAAUUUUGGUCAUAAAAAGUUUGUUGGGUCGGGUUAUAUUUAACCCAACUCAUACAAUGGAUAUUCCAUAUUUAAUAAUUUAGAUAUUUAGAAGAUUUGAUUAAGAUUUAGAAUUAUGAUUCUCCUAUCAUCUUUGUUUCAUUUGUUUUUAACUGUUUUGAAUCAUAAUAUCUUAUUAUAUAAAGUAUGAUUUUCAAAGUUAAUAACUCACGAGAUCGUGACACGUGUCAAAUAUUUCGAUAUUAGAUUUAGCCAUGUGUCAAAUAAAUUUUUAUUUUUAAUAAAAAAGGUAAAAAGAUAAUUAUAAGAAAAUUAUAAAUGUAAACAGUUUGAAAAUGUAAAAAGCUAAUUAUAAAAAAAUUGUAACUAACUCCCUAUAUUUCCAUAAGAGAUUUUGCCAUCUAGCAACCAAAAUUUUUGUUUUUAACAACUUAAAAUAAAAGAUAAUUAUAACAAAAUUACAAAUUUAAAUAGUUAGAUCAUAGUAAGAAAACUAUAUGUAUAUAUAUGUGUAUUUUCCAUGAAAAUCGAAAUUAUAAAAUUAUGCUGAAUAUUUUAUUUAUAAGUUACUAAUUGUACAAGAAAAAAAAUAAAAAAUAGAAAAAGGAUUAAGGAAAUUAUACAAUCAAUUAUUAUUCCUAUAAGAAAAAGAUUGUAAAUAAUCACCUUUACUCAAAAAUAUAAGUAACUAACAUCUGACUCAAAAAUAAUUAAAGAAAUAGCCAUGAGUUAAAAAAAUUUAGAAAACUAACAUUUUUUAGAAAUGUAAAAAUUCAAAAUGGCUCUCAAACAAAAGAUAAACAUACAACUUUGGAUUUUAAUUUGGAUUUCAAACAAAAUAUAAGUAACUAACAUCUGCAUCAUAUAUGCUAGCUCAUCCAAACCUAACGACAUGGCCUAUGUUGUUUUGAUGAUAAUAAAUUCAAUUGGACUCUAAUGGGCUGCAAAAGAAUGAUGGAAAUUGGCCGAACAAUAAUAUGCGGGAGCGAGAUGUUACAACGCUACCUCUUGAUUAUCCGUACCAAUCAUAUAUUUCAUCGCCCAGAGAAGAGCUUCGACUUCUAUAUGUAGUGGAGAUAGACUUCUACGGAGGUUGGCAGCUCUUAUGGUUGGCGGCUCUCCAUUUAAUGAUGUACAGAACCACCCUGUACCAGAGAUCUUAUCACUUUCUUUCCAUGUUCCAUCCACAAAGCAACAGUGUCCAGAAUAGUUCGAAUCAAGUGAAUCAUCCCUCACUCGAGAUCGAGUUACCAAAUCCACGAAACCAUGAUUUCAUUCUGAAGCUCGAUUUGAGCUGACUGCCACAAUUGUGCUUUUUUUUUCCGCUAACUGUAAUACCUCUAACGGGUCUUUGUCUAUAGUUUCAAAGAUUUUUUCAUUCCUAGCUUUCCAACUAUACCAGAUAAUCCAUGGAAAGGCUGAUGAAUCGAAUUCCGAAGGUAUUUUCCAAAAUAAGUGAUCCAGAUUCACAAAAAUAGAUUUCGUGAGAAACUUCCCCAUAGCCGUAGGAAUCUUUGAAAGCGCCCAAAUUUGUCAUGCCGGAUGGUACUGAAAGAUUGUAUGAUUUAUCGUUUCCUAUGAUGCACCACAUCUAGCACAUCCUGUGUCACAAUCAAUUCUUCUUUUCUGCAAAUUCUCUGUAACCGGUACACAACCCGUGAAUAUUUAAUUUGCCACAAGAAAUGGCGUACCUUAGGUGAAAACUGCACUAGCAAAGAAUGUGCUUUUAGAUGUUUGAUGUCUGGGCCAAUAAAAGAUAAAUUGGUCUUCGAAUUGAUAUCCCGACUUGACUGUUUAUUUUGUAGUUUUUGUAAAAUGCUAACCCAGAGUAUCUUUUUUAGUUGGCGCACCCACAAGUAGGGCACUUAUUAGUUCGACAUCUUCUGGAUCAAAGAUCGCCUCUAAGAGAUCAAUAUUCCAAAAGUUUGAACAAUUAUCUAGAAGAUUGUUAACUCUUAAAGAUGGAUAAAUAAUUGAGCCAUUACUUUUUGCUGGUCUCGGAAAUUGAGCUGAAAUCCAGGGAUCCUCCCAAACUGAUAUGGAUAUGUCCCCGAUCCGACUCUUUUAGUAAGUCCUUUAUUAACCAGAAAUCUAGCUGAACAUAAACUCCUCCAUCAAUAUGAUGGAAAGUAUGAUUUUAUAUUUUCCAAAGGACUAGAUUUUUGAAAAUACCGCCCUUUAAAGACCCUCCCGAAAAGAGAAUCUAAAACCGUAAUACCCCGCCAUAACUAUUUUGCUAAUAAGGCUGAAUUAAAUUCGUCUACAUUCUGAAAUCCUAGUGCCCCUUCCGAUUUACUAUUGCACAAUUUAUUCCAGGCCAUCCAUUCGAACUCCACCAAAAAUUAGCAACCGCACUAGUAAGUUUAGAAAUGAUUGUUUAGGUAGUUUGAAGCAUGACAUAACAUAAGUUGGUAAUGAUGCAGCUACCGAUUUAAUCAUCACUUCUUUUCCACACUUCUAUAAAAAUUUGGUCAACCAUCAGUUAAUUCUUGUCUGUAAUCUAUCUCUAACAAAAGAGAAUUUUUUUUUGUCUUAGAGCCACCUAAACUCUCUGGUAAUCCGAGAUAAGAACUCAUACCACUGAUAUUAGUAAUGCCCAAUAGUAGAUUUGAUCUCUUCCUUGAUAUCAUCAUCUAUUUUAUGUCCAAACUGAAUCGAGAAUUUUAAAAACUUUAUCUGCUGUCCCGAGACCGCUUCAUACUUCUUUAAAAUAUUUCAGAUUACUCCACACUGGUCCUUGUUUGCCUUACAAAAAAAAAAAUAUCAUCCGCAAAUAACAGAUGUGAAACCGAAGGGCUUGCAUUUGCUACUUUGAUACCCAUAAUUUAUUUUUCCUGUUCUGCUUUCCGAAUAUUCGCAAUUAGCACUUCUAUGCAAAGGAUAAAUAAUUAUGGCGACAGCGGGUCUUCUUGUCGUAAUCCCCUCUCUGGGACUAUUAAUCCUCUCGGUUGUCUAUUAAGGAGAACUCUAUAUUGGACUGUUGUAAUACACCACAUUAUCCAGUUAAUCCAUUUUUCACAAAACCCAAUUUUCUUAACACCUUCUCAAUGAAAAUUCAUUAUACCCUAUCAUAAGCCUUACUCAUAUCCAUUUUAAUAGCCAUGAAUUUUCCUUUAAAGGACAGGUUAGUUCUCAACCCAUGAAACAUCUCUUGUGCAAUAAGAAUAUUAUCCGAAAUCAAUCGUCCUUCUAUAAAAGCCGAUUGCAUUUUCAAAAUCAGUUUUGGUAGAACCAUCUUGUCUUUGGCAAAGAAUUUUUGAUCUAAUUUUAUAACCAUUAUUGCAAAGACUUAUAAGCCGUAAUUCCGUCAUCCAUGUCGGUCUUUCCAUUUUUGGAAUUAGACAAAUGUUAGUCAUAUUUAACCGUUAGUCAAAGAUUCCAUCUUCUAAAAAAGAGUUGACUAGAAAAAGAAGGUCUCCUUUAAUAGUAACCCCAGCCUUUUGAAAAAUAAGGUUGUCAUACCAUGAGGCCCUGGAGUUUUCUAUGGAUGCAUCAUAAACAGAGCCGUUUUCACCUUACCCUCCGUUACGGGUGCCGUUAGAUAAUUAUUAACUUGAUCCGUAAUCUGAAUUUGAACUUUCGCCAAAGAUUCCUCAAAGUCCUCUAGCUUAGUUGUAGUAAACAGAUUCUUAAAAUAAGAUACCGUUAUAUUUUGAAUAUCUUUAUCCUCUGCAGACCAAGUCUCAUUUUCAUCCUCUAACCCUUUAAUUUGAUUCCUUGCCCGUCUCUGUUUUUAUAGAGCACUAGAUGUUAACCCGCGGUACACCGCGGGCCUAUAUUUUUAUUAAAUAAAUAUUCAAUAUUUUUUUAAGAUGAUCUAUAGAUAUAUGCUGUUGUUUUGUUUGAUUUAAAUGUAUAGUACAUCGCGAAAUGAUAUUUUAUAACUAAAAAUUUUAAGUUAUAUUUGUUUUGUUAAUUUUAUUUGAUUGUAAAUUCUAGGAUUUCACCCGUACUAUAUUAUCCCGUAUUAAUAUCAAUCCAAAACCGUCAAUUUUAGGAUUUCAUCCGUAGUAUAAAGUUUAAGUAUUUAUAAUGUUUAAACUUCUUAUAAAAGAAUCGAGAUGCGUUUUUGAAAAAAUAUUAAAUUUUAAGUUGUAUUUGUUUUGUUUAGUAUUUAAUAUUGUAGAAUAUUAUUUUGAUUGUUAAUUUGGAAAUUCAACAUCAUUUUGUUUUUUUAAUAAUAUUUUUAUUUAAAAGACAUAUAAUUCGAGUCAAUAAGUAUAUAUAUAUAUAUAUAUAUAUAUAUUAUUAAUUGUUUAGAGUUCAUCUAUAUUAUUAAUAUUAUAAACUUUUUCUAAAAUUUUAAUAUUAUAAAUAUUUAUAAUAUUUUGAAUUUGUAUAUAUAACAAUGUUGGAUUUUAUCAAAAAAAAUUAUUUCGUAUUAAAAUAUAUGUAAUAUAGUAACUCAAUUAUACAUUUAGAUAUUGACCCGUGGAACAAUUUUGACUUUUUAAUUUUGAUCUUCAUAAAUUUAUGAUUUUGGUAGUAUAUAAAACUGAUUGGUGGUGUAUGGUUUUUGAUAAAAUUUAGCUCUUAUAGUUAGAAUUUAAUUUAAAAAAACUGUUAGCAAUGUGCCAUGCUAAUUUCAUUCUUUGAUGUAUUAAAAUUUGAGAUCACUAACCUGAAUUUUUAACAUCACUUAUCAAAGCAGUGACCCGAGCCUCCAAUUCUCCCAUUUCUUUUGCACCGGCUAUUAGCAAUCCUAUAUUCAGAGCCAUUAUGAGUUUCGUCUACGUAUAGAAACAAACAAAAUAAAGAUGAUGUUAAUCGUGCGAACAUAAAGAUUUGACCAAAAUAAGGCAUAUAUACAAAGGAAUGUGUAGAGAGUUUUAUCAAUAAUGUGUUUGAAAAAUGAGAUGAGAGGUAAUGGUAAAGACUAAAGAGUAUAUAUAGGCGUCACACAUUAGAUCAUAAUCUCUUGGUGACCAAGGAAAUUAUAUUUGAUACCUUAACUAAAAUGGAACAAAAUAUAUUCUUCGGAAUUUUUUUUGGAAUAUACUACUAUGAAGAAUAUAUAUGUAAUUAAUAUUUUCUAUAAAAUCGUUGUAAUCAAUAUUUUGUGUGGAAAAAAUAGCAGAAAGGAUAAUGUGUGAAUAAGUAACUGUAAUCACAUUAAUUAUUCGGUUGUUUGGAAAGAUUUGCUUCGAUAUUUAUGGAAACUGAUUGAUUUAAUUCGUUUAUUAACUUACCCAGCGGCAUGAAUUAUGGGUACGUUUACUUUUGGAGAAUAUAUUAUGCUAAGAUUUUCAUAUUUUGAUGCAUACGUAUAUUCAUUAAAAUCAAUUAUCUCACUGAUUUUAAUAUUUUGAUGCAUAGGUAUAUUAAUACCAUUAAAUCAAAGGUUUGUAAUCAUAAUUGGAAACAAAUAAUGACUUAAAUGCGAUUUAGUAAUGUUGUAAAGAAUAUGCCAUUUAUGUAGAUUGAUUGUUGGGAUUAGUUUCCAAUUAGUUUUAUUUUUGGGAUUAUAGUUAUCCCAAACUUUAAACUAAUUUAGAUUUUAUAGUUUUGUAUUCAUAAAUAAUAAAAUUAUUUGUUCACCCACAUCAGAAAAUAUUACCCAAAAAAAAUUACGUAAUAUUAAAUAAAAAAUUAAAUAACUAACUAUUUUCAUUUGAUGGUCUAGCCAAAUUAUUAUUACUAUUUAUGUAUUUUAAUGACAAAAAUAAUUUUUAAAAAUAACAAAUAUUAAUUUUCAUAACAAAUCAAAUUAUUUUUCGUAAGAACAAUUUUUUACAAAAUAUUUAUUGUAAUCAAAAUAUUUAUUGUUAGAAGUAGUUAAGGUAAAUAACAAAUAUAGUUAGUUUGUAGAUAUCAUAUAUAAUUAGAUUUAGGUGUUAAUUAAAAAUUAAUGUCGUUUUUUGUUGCAGAUUGCAUUGGCGAAAAUAAAGGAACAAUAUACUUAAGGUAUGUGAGAUGUUAUUUGUAUUGAUUUUGGUAAAAAUGGAGUUAAUCAAUUAGGUAUGGUAAAUGCUAAGUAUCCGGAGAUUUUGAUUAAUAUGGAAAUAGUAUAAGAAUAAGUAGAUGAAUUAAAGACAACAUGACUUCAUUUAUCAGUUUGAAAUUAAGACAACAUCCCUAAAAUUGCUUAUCCAAGAUCCGAACAGACUAAAACCGGGUCAAACCCGGAUCCAAAAGAAUUAAAGCAAAAAAGUACUGUAAAAAUGUAUAUGUAGAUGAUAGUACUUUGAAUUAUUAUCCCCUGAUUGCAUCCAAAAACUCAUACUUUUCUGAUGCCAAUAUAAUUUCUCAUCUCGGUAAGCCUCUUUCAGCCGCAUUGUUAAUUUUGUAAUUUACUCCCGAGGUCUCCUAUCAUCUCUCUGAGCCACAUAUAAUUCCGAUUUUAGUUCCUCAGUUGUUUGCUGUCCAUAUGGAGUUAAUUCUUUUCUACACUGCGAAAUAGCCCGCCUACGGUUAGUCAGUUUUUCCACAAAUUUUCUUUUUCCUAAUUCCUUAUAAGCAUUUCAGGCAUUUGAAAUUGCUUCUAGUAAUCCUUCCUUCCCAAUCCAUCUCUUACCAAACCUGAAAUUCCUUUUUCCACGUGGUGGUACCUUAUCCAAUAGCGUAGCUACCACCGGUGAAUGGUCGGAAGCUACCAUUGGUAAAUAUUCAACGAAAUAAUUGCAGAAUAAUUCAUGUCAAUCUUCGUUUGCUAAACCUCUAUCCAAACGACACCGUAUUGGUUUUUUUAUCCCGGCAACCCCGCCAGGACAACCAAUCUCUUAUAUAUGGAAAUUCCAAAAGACCGCAAUUUUUAAUAAUUAAAUUAAAAGGGAUAAAAGACGAUGCAUGUCUUAAAUUACCAACUCUUUUCUCAUGGUUUCCGGUUAACUCAUUAAAAUCACCUAUUAAAAACUAAGGUGUGUCCCUAGUCAAACCGAUCUGUGUCAACCAUUCCCAAACUUGAUUUCUAUUUUUCGGAACCGGGUCACCAUAAACGAAAGUAAGAUGUAUUGUUUUCCCCUUUAUCACAGCCUCAACAUCAAUUAAACGAUUACUUUCAAAAAUAAUGGAUACAUUAAAAUCAUUAUUGUAAUAAAAAGGUAAACCACCACUACAGAUAGGAUUAAUCGUUUUUAAAUUUUUGUAACCAAAAUGACCGAUAAAUUUAAAUAUUUUUAUUAUUGUUAUUUAGAUACUUUUUAGCCUCGAGAAAUUUCCAAUUUACCUUUUAAAAAAAAAAAAAAAUUUCCAAUUUAAUUACUUCUUCCUUCCUUGUCAAGAUUUUCCAAAGGUAGUCAAGUCAAGUUCUGACUAUAUUUUCUAUUUCUUCUCGUUCUUUUUAUUUUCUCCCUUUUGCUAGUGUUUUAUCGUAUACUGUCUUCUUCGAGCCAAUGGUUGAAGGGUUGUCAUUGAUGUUCCUCCUUGUUUCACUUUUAUUCGUCUCACGUACGGCCGUUUCCAUUAUUCCAGAGAACAUUUUUGGUUUAGUUCUUAUUUGGUGAUAUUUUUCUUAAUUGUUAAUUGUUCUAAUCGCAGGAGUAACGUCAAGAAACUUUACUAUCGAAAACAAAUGCGACUAUACUGUCUGGCCGGGAGUUUCAACCGCAAGUACUGUUCCGCUCUCCACUACCGGCUUUGAACUCAAGAAAGGAGAGGCGCGUGUCAUCAACGCGCCGACGUCAUGGAAUGGUCGUUUCUGGGGUAGGUCUCUUUGCUCCACCAGCUCAACAGGGAACUUCUCCUGCGCCACCGGAGAUUGUGGCUCCGGAAAAAUCGAGUGCUCUGGAGGCGCAGCGCCUCCAACGACUCUAGCUGAAUUUUCCCUAAACGGUCCCAACGGUCAAGACAUCUAUGACGUAAGCCUCGUGGACGGAUACAACCUUCCUUUAGUGGUGGUCCCACAACGUCCGCAGAGUGGCCAAACAUGCAUCACCAUUGGUUGCGUGGUCAACCUGACCGAGACGUGUCCGUCGGAGCUUCAGGUUAUGGGAAACUCCAGCGAGGAAGAGCCAAUUGCUUGCAUGAACGCUUGUCAGAAAUUCAAAACAGCGGAAUUCUGCUGCACCGGCGAGUACUCUACGCGUCAGAAAUGUCCACCGUCGCUUUACGCAAAGAAUUUCAAGAACGAAUGUCCACUCGCUUAUAGCUAUGUUUAUGAUGAUGCAACCAACACAUUCACAUGCUCAAGCUCACCUAAUUACGUCAUCACCUUUUGCCCGCCGAUUACUUCGAACACCACCAAGUAAGUUCCCGGAAAUAUCCUUCCUAUUUCGUCAAAGACGUAGGUUAGUUGAAUCCAAUGUUCUAGAGAUAUUGGAUCAUACACGGCUUUAAUUUUGACUAUUCAUUCUAGAGAUAUUUUCUAGAAUGUUGACUAGUUGAAAUGGACCAUAUAUUUUGGUUCGCUAACACAAUCCAAUCCAACUCAUCACGCUAAUGAGUUUAUCCAAAUAUUUUACCCUGUUUAAUAUAGGAUCCAAUGUUCUAAUAAUCCAUAAUGCCAAAAAUUGUUAUUAAAAUUGGUCGUCAUCUAGACUAAAAUCGUCGUCAUAAAUAGUUACAUUUUUUUAGCUUUGGUCAAAUUUGUUGAAAAUAAAAUAUAAAAACAUUAUUAAGGGAACAAGAAUUGUUCUUAUUAAGGGAGUUUAUGGUUUAGGAGGCCGAUUUAUUCACAUGGAAGCAAGUUUAAUAUAUUAUAAGCAAUUUAUAAAAAGGACAUUUAAAUGAACCUACCCAUUUCUGAUUAGCACCUACCCAUUUUUUUAAAUUGCUAGUUAGGUCUUAUAAACUGAUAUGUGAUUAUGUCACUUCUUCGAUAGCAACAACAGGAGCUCAGCGGCUGAUCCUCCAUUCCCAGCUCAACCUUCCAAGGAAACUAAUGGAGGAACAAAACGUAAGUUUUGUUUUAUGAACUUUUUUCAUACCAAUAGUUCUUAUGAUUUUUUUGCUUAACAAGAUUUCUUGUUUGAUUUUUUUUUUUUGGCAGAAAAAUCAGCAUGGAAAUUAAAACUCAUACUUGGUACUAUAUAUAUAUAUCGCUCAAUCCAUCAGAUAGUACUCUUAUAUACAAAAAACCAACACCUAAAUUUUGAUUCUGUUUAUCUUAUGGCAGGAGUCUUAGCAGCUUUAACUGUGAUGAUAAUUAUUGUGGUCGUGAUAAUAAUGAAAACAAAGAAUAGGACAAAGAGUGAUUGGGAUGACCAAAACGUUGAAGCAGUUGUAAUGUUGAAAAGAUAUAGUUACAAAAGAGUCAAGAGGAUGACAAACUCAUUUGCGCAUGUUCUUGGGAAAGGAGGAUUUGGAACCGUCUACAAAGGAAAGUUACCUGAUAGCGGUCGGGAUGUUGCAGUGAAGAUCUUGAAGGAGACAGAGGGGAAUGGGGAAGAGUUUAUCAAUGAAGUAGCUAGCAUGAGUAGAACAUCUCAUGUCAAUAUCGUUUCUUUGCUUGGAUUCUGUUAUGAAAGGAACAAGAGAGCUAUAGUCUAUGAGUUCAUGCCUAAUGGAUCCCUCGACAAGUAUAUUUCUGAUAAUAUGUCAACCAAGUUGGAUUGGGAAAAAUUAUAUGACAUUGCGCUAGGUAUCUCUCGCGGCCUAGAGUAUUUACACAAUCGCUGUGUCACAAGGAUUGUACAUUUCGACAUAAAGCCGCAGAACAUACUGAUGGACGAUCAUCUUUGCCCUAAGAUUUCGGAUUUUGGUCUUGCUAAACUAUGCAAGAAUAAGGAAGUAAGCAUAAUUUCAAUGCUAGAUGCCAGAGGGACAGCGGGAUAUAUUGCCCCUGAAGUAUUUUCCAAGAAUUUUGGGGGAGCUUCGCAUAAGUCAGAUGUGUAUAGUUAUGGGAUGGUGAUUCUUGAGAUGAUUGGAGCAAGGAAUAUAAACAUGGUUAAAAAUGCUCGUUCCACUAAUAGUUCAGUGUACUUUCCAGAUUGGAUCUAUAAGGAUUUUGAGCAAGGAGAAAUUAUGAGGAUUUUGGGAGAUCAGAUAACCAAAGAAGAAGAGAAAAUUGCGAAGAAAAUGGUAUUGGUUGGUUUGUGGUGCAUUCAGACGAAUCCAUCUGACCGUCCACCAAUGAUCAAAGUCAUUGAAAUGUUAGAGGGGAAUCUAGAGGCUCUCGAAGUUCCACCUAAACCUCUCUUGUAUUUACCCGCAGCAACGGUUCCAGAAACUCUUGAAGAUAGUAAUGAGACUACAAGCUUCUCUAAUCCAACUCAGUUUGAAAGAGGUACUCCAUCAGCUAGCUAGUGAAGAUGUUUUACACUUUUCCAAAUAAGUGAUUCAACAAACUGUUGAAGAGAGUCAAUUUAGGUCAAGGUCCUCCUAAACUAAAGUCAACGAAAGAGUGGAUCUCUUAAAACUUAUCAAGAUCUUUUCUAGGAUGAUCCCAAUACGGGGUUUUUUUCGAUUACUUCUCUAGGAUGGACUCCUUUCUUGUAUAUUCGCUCAUCUAUCCAUAGAACAGCUGAUGUUUUGCAUAUGAUGAUGUCUUCGACACACAGUCCGUACGACAUGGAUUGACAAAGUGUCUCCACUCGCUGAAUCCUUGUAUGAGAAUUUUAUAUAUUGAAGAAAAUAAAUUUGUAAGUUAAAGUCUAAAAUGUUAACAAGAUCAUUCUCAAGGACUUGUAAGAAAAUUAAAGUCUUCUAAAGUCUUUUGUAAUGUGGCUUUCACACUUGACUUGGUCCUUCAACACCCCAAGUCUCCCUAGUUCUUGUUUUCUUUUUAAACAGUGAAUUUAUUUAUCAAACAUAAAAAAAGUCAAAAUCAGAAUGCAGAAUUUACAUUUCUUGAUUCUAUGUUUUUUUUUUUCACUGGAAUCAUUAAUAAAAUGAAAACAAAAAAGAAGAACAUAUUGUAGAAGCCUGUAACAAAAAAAAUUACUAAAUAUUGAAGAAAACUAGUUAACCAAAAGACUAAGCAAAUCCUGGAACAAACCACUGAGUUUUAACAAAUCUAUUAUUAAAACUGUCUUCCUUAGGCCAUUUGAUUAUACUUGUUGCAAGAUCAAAGACACCGCAAUUUGAAACAGCAUGAUAAUAUAUUGGCUGUAAGUCAUCUACAGCGAAAUAGAUUGAACCACUCUUGAUUCCAUCAUCACCAACAUCUUGAACCGGUGCUCUUAUUGUAACCCCAUGACCAAAGAUCAACAUCUCAUCAUCUCCAAUAGAUUCUACUCUUUCCCAUAUGUUACUCUCAAGAUUCAUCUUAAAGAUGUAAAACAAAAGUUUCCUUUCCGAUAUUAGUUCGAAUACACUCAAGAUAAUCAAAACCUCUCCUGAUUUCUGAAUCGCCAUUCUCGUCUUACAAAUGUAUUCCCCUUCUUUUGAAAAGUAUCGAAACGGAUGUUCCAAAUACGGGUUUUUUUCGAUUACUUCUAUGGGAUCAUUUCGAGAGAAAUCAACAAUUUUGAUGUGACCAUUAGUAGUAUAGAGAUAAAGCUUGCUGUUUCUAUAAGCCAAAUCCAAAAAACUUAAAUUUAGGCUUCCCAUAUUCCAAUGGUCAUUCCAGUUCCACCAUGAAUCAUCUCCUUUCUUGUAUAAGAACAAGUAAUGAUUAUCGUAAAUCCAAGCAACCACAUAAUCUCCUGUUCUCUCAUCUAUCCAUAAAACAGCUGAUCUUCGGCAUAUCAUGAUGUCUUUCCCCACAUAAUCCUUACGACAUGGAUCAACAAAGUGUCCCCACUCGCUGAAUCCAUCCUCGCGGUUCCGCUCGAAUCUCACAUUCCCACCGCGAAUUGAAGACUCCAUAGAUGGAAGAUCGAUUCUUUUGUACGUUAACAGGUUAAAAAUGUAGAAACCGAGAUUAGAAUCUACCAUCAAGAGCCAGUUUCCUGAGCUAGUCAUAUAAUAGCUGUCGUUAGAGAGUCCAACGUUUGUUCCUUUGUAAAUCUUGUCUUCUCCGGGAUUUAACAACAUCAAAGAGUCUUUUACGUAUGUGAUCCGCCAUGGACAAAGAGGACGCUUCACGCAUGUUUUCCAAAUUGAAUACCAAUCUGAGCAAACGGUUUUUGCUCGGUGAAAAUCAAUAGAGUUCAAGCUUUCGAGUAUCGACCGUAAGAGAUCAGGAUAAAGUUUGGACCAAUCAUGAUUUUCAGACACAUUUCGUCUCUCCUCUUCUCUCAUCAAACCCUUUGGCGUAUCCAUGUUGCGUUUACUUGCCGAGCACUCUAACUCGGUAAAUGUAUCGAGGUUUAGUUUAGUUUGUCCAAUAUAUAUAGUUUUAAUAUCUAGGUCAAGUUUCUUAGAUAUCAUAUAAGAUUCUCCUCCUUGUAACAUGUGUCUUUUUUUCAUUUUAUCUUAAAAUCAUUAUUUAGUUUUAUAACAAAAAAAUAUAUCAUUAUUUAAUUUCAUUAGAUUUAAUUAUGUACAUCAUUAUUUUUAAAAUCUAUAUUAUAUAUUAAAGUAAGGUUCUCUUCAAAUACAGACUCUUUUUUUUUUUUCGUAUAUAUAUAUAUAU
rnacentral:lncRNA from 1 species